rnacentral:rRNA from 1 species
UACAGAGGUGACUAACGUUGUCCGGAAUUAUUGGGCGUAAAGGGCGCGUAGGUGGUCAGGUAAGUCAGGUGUGAAAGCUCUGGGCUUAACCCAGGAAUUGCAUCUGAUACUGCUUGGCUUGAGUACGGUAGAGGAGGGUGGAAUUCCCAGUGUAGCGGUGAAAUGCGUAGAGAUCAGCAGGAACACCCGUGGCGAAGGCGGCCCCCUGGGCCGUACCUGACGCUGAGGCGCGAAGGCUAGGGGAGCGAACGGG